UUUCACUCUCUGUAAUCACACCACACUUCGUACUCUCCCUCUGAGAAAGACCCUUGUCACCAAAACCCAAUUUUCAGUUCCCACAAAAUCAUCAGAAUCUAACUUCUUUGGCUCCACACUCACUCACUCAUCGUAUAUCUCCCCAGUCUCUUCCUCUUCUCUCAAAGGCUUAAUCUUUGCCAAGGUACAUUUCUCGACUCUUGCAUUGAUAGAUUGUUUGCUACAGUUGGGUAACAACUAGUUCUGGGAAUUAGCUUCUUUGUUAGACCAAUGUUUUUUGGACAAUCUAAGUUCUGUUCCAUUUCUUUUUUAUAUGUUUUUGAGUAUUACGAUAUAAAUAUUAGCAAGACAAUAGAUUGUUAGAUACACAGCCAUUUUUGAAUAAGAAACAAAAGAUGUAAAUAUUGGGUUUUAAGUCUGAAUUUAAAUGUUAUAAGAACAGAUUUAUGAAUGUGUUAGUGCAGAAUCAAAGACAAAAUCAAAGAAACUUGUAAUCAGUGUUUGUUUUAGAGACCAUAAACUUUCACAUACCUGAAAAUAAGCAAAUGCUAGAAUGUUCUUGAAUAUGUUCAAUCCUUUAUUCAUAUGAUUUAAGCUGACACGGCAUAUGAACUCUCUUUAACCUUCUGUGAAUUGGUCUCUUUGUGAUGUUUGGUGGGCAGCAGGUUAACAAGGGUCAGGCUGCACCAGACUUCACACUAAAGGAUCAAAACGGAAAGCCGGUGAGCCUCAAAAAGUAUAAAGGGAAGCCUGUUGUUCUCUACUUCUACCCUGCAGAUGAAACCCCUGGCUGCACCAAGCAGGUUGUUAAAUCUUUACUUUCUCCUCCUUCCCGCAUUCAUUGAUCGCAUAUUUAGUGUUUCUAAACGUAAAUGGUUUUACUUGUGUACAACAGGCUUGUGCUUUCAGAGACUCUUAUGAGAAAUUCAAGAAAGCUGGUGCAGAGGUCAUUGGCAUUAGUGGAGAUGACUCUGCUUCUCACAAGGUACACACAUCAAAAAUCUCUGGUUUCUUGAAUAAACCCAUUUCUUUUUUCCGGAUUUUAAAGAGAGUGGUGGGACUUUAAACAUUGUUGCAGGCGUUUGCAAGCAAAUACAAACUACCGUAUACAUUGUUAAGCGACGAAGGGAAUAAGGUGAGAAAAGAUUGGGGAGUGCCUGGAGACCUGUUUGGAGCAUUGCCAGGGAGACAGACUUACGUUCUUGACAAAAACGGUGUUGUUCAGCUCAUCUACAACAACCAGUUCCAGCCUGAGAAACACAUCGACGAGACCUUGAAGUUUCUCAAAGCUGCUUGAUCAUUCUCUCUUUCUCUUCUUUCUCUUCUUUCAUGCAUGUCUCAUGUCUGUCUCCAUGAGACCAUGACCUUCUUAUAUUGUUUCUGUUGAGUAUGAAUUUUCAAUAAUACCAUGUUAUACCA
rnacentral:lncRNA from 1 species